GAUGAACGCUAGCGGCAGGCCUAACACAUGCAAGUCGAGGGGCAGUGAGAAUGAAGCUUGCUUCAUUUGUCGGCGACCGGCGCACGGGUGCGUAACGCGUAUGUAACCUACCUUAAACAGGGGCAUAACACCGGGAAAUUGGUACUAAUUCCCCGUAACACUUUGGGAGGCAUCUCCUGGAGUUGAAAGUUCCGGCGGUUUAAGAUGGACAUGCGUUGUAUUAGAUAGUUGGUGAGGUAACGGCUCACCAAGUCGACGAUACAUAGGGGGACUGAGAGGUUAACCCCCCACAUUGGUACUGAGACACGGACCAA
rnacentral:rRNA from 1 species